rnacentral:lncRNA from 1 species
UAUUCAUGAUGUUAUUAUUAUUUUUUUUUAAAACGUUUUUUUUUUAUCGUCCCUAAUAUAAAAUAUUUGUAGAUUUUUCUUCACACACGUGAAACCUACGUGUGGACGCAAACAUUGGAUUUCUAAGCAAUGUUUAUUCGCUAUCAAGCUCGUUUACUGAGAGAGAGCUCCAAACAACAACCAAUCGACUGAUGAGCAGGGGUGCCAGUGAAAUCUGCGCGCGAGGGGGAGGACGUCAUCUAUAUUCACAUCUAUGCAAAGUUUCCCAGCAUUUCAUCUCGACACUUUCUGCCCAUGUAAACGGCUGGAGUCCCGUCCAGAGAAUCAGACAGCUGCUGGUGCUGAUGCUGGAGCAGGGAGUCUCAGCAUCCUCUUCCUCCGUCAUUAGUCGAGUUCGGGCUCUCCACCGCACCGUCGGCACCAACGCGGGAGAAAACACCGAUUUACUGGUCAACCAACUGGCUGGCUGCAAAUAAAUGGAAGGACCUAAAGAAUGAGUCAUCUUUCAUCUGCUGUUUAACAGUUUUCUGAACGCCUAGCUGCUA